rnacentral:rRNA from 1 species
AUUGAACGCUGGCGGCAGGCCUAACACAUGCAAGUCGAGCGGAUGAAGGGAGCUUGCUCCUGGAUUCAGCGGCGGACGGGUGAGUAAUGCCUAGGAAUCUGCCUGGUAGUGGGGGAUAACGUCCGGAAACGGGCGCUAAUACCGCAUACGUCCUGAGGGAGAAAGUGGGGGAUCUUCGGACCUCACGCUAUCAGAUGAGCCUAGGUCGGAUUAGCGAGUUGGUGGGGUAAAGGCCUACCAAGGCGACGAUCCGUAACUGGUCUGAGAGGAUGAGCAGUCACACUGGAACUGAGACACGGUCCAGACUCCUACGGGAGGCAGCAGUGGGGAAUAUUGGACAAUGGGCGAAAGCCUGAUCCAGCCAUGCCGCGUGUGUGAAGAAGGUCUUCGGAUUGUAAAGCACUUUAAGUUGGGAGGAAGGGCAGUAAGUUAAUACCUUGCUGUUUUGACGUUACCAACAGAAUAAGCACCGGCUAACUUCGUG